CUACGAUCUGUAAUCUCACUGAGGAGAGUAGAGAUCAUCAAUGUUAUGCGGCUCUGGGAGAAUCUAUGUCAUUCCACCUGACUGCAAACACAAGGGAAGAAAAAAUUACAUUGAAGAAAGGUGAUAAUCGUAUUCUGAACUUCCAAACUGGAGAAGACUGGAGAUCUAAACUGCAUCAGGAUUAUGUGAAUCGCUCCGAGUUCUUUAAUAAUGGAACAUUCAGACUGGACAGAGUUAUAGAAGAAGACAGUGGAGAUUACCAAUUGGAAACAUAUAAUUCAGAGGGACGAGUGUUGCACAAAGUCAACAUGCUACUUGAGAUAAAAGCCCCGGUGUCAGAGCCAGUGUUGUCUCACCUCUGUCUGCCUCAUGGAGAAACCGUGGUCACAUGCUCAUCAGAGGGAGAUGGUCUUCAGUACAGCUGGACCCUGAAUGGCCAGAAUCUGACCAGGAGUGUAGCCUAUGACCACUACCAGAACAGUGUCAUCAUACUGAAGAGUGAUGUGACAGGAACCCUGACCUGUAUGGUUCAGAAUAAAGUUAGCACCAGCAACUCCACUAUUCAUCUUCCGGCCUGCCAAGCUUUGUAUGAAUUUUGCAUGAAAAAGUGACCACAAGAUCAAUGUUUUGACAAGAACCACGUUGUGAGAUUGUGGAAAUUACUUUAAGUACUGUAUCAGAUGACUUUCAAA